rnacentral:rRNA from 1 species
CAGACGGGUGAGUAACGCGUGGGAACGUGCCCUUCGGUUCGGAAUAACUCAGGGAAACUUGAGCUAAUACCGGAUACGCCCUUUUGGGGAAAGGCUUGACUGCCGAAGGAUCGGCCCGCGUCUGAUUAGCUGGUUGGUGAGGUUACGGCUCACCAAGGCGACAAUCAGUAGCUGGUCUGAAAGGAUGAUCAGCCACACUGGGACUGAAACACGGCCCAAACUCCUACGGGAGGCAGCAGUGGGGAAUAUUGGACAAUGGGGGCAACCCUGAUCCAGCCAUGCCGCGUGAGUGAUGACGGCCUUAGGGUUGUAAAGCUCUUUUCUCCGGGACGAUAAUGACGGUACCGGAGGAAUAAGCCCCGGCUAACUUCGUGCCAGCAGCCGCGGUAAUACAAAGGGGGCUAGCGUUGCUCGGAAUCACUGGGCGUAAAGGGCGCGUAGGCGGCUGAUUUAGUCAAGGGUGAAAGCCCGUGGCUCAACCACGGAAUGGCCUUCGAUACUGGUUGGCUUGAGACCGGAAAAGGACAGCGGAACUGCGAGUGUAAAGGUGAAAUUCGUAAAUAUUCGCAAGAACACCAGUGGCGAAGGCGGCUGUCUGGUCCGGUUCUGACGCUGAGGCGCGAAAGCGUGGGGAGCAAACAGGAUUAGAUACCCUGGUAGUCCACGCUGUAAACGAUGAAUGCUAGCCGUUGGGGUGCAUGCACCUCAGUGGCGCCGCUAACGCAUUAAGCAUUCCGCCUGGGGAGUACGGUCGCAAGAUUAAAACUCAAAGGAAUUGGACGGGGGCCCGCACAAGCGGUGGAGCAUGUGGUUUAAUUCGAAGCAACGCGCAGACCCUUACCAUCCCUUGACAUGGCGUGUUAUCCCGGAGAGAUCCGGGGUCCCCUUCGGGGGGCGCGCACACAGGUGCUGCAUGGCUGUCGUCAGCUCGUGUCGUGGAGAUUGUUGGUUAAGUCCCGCACGGAGCGCAACCCACGUCCUAGUGCCAUUCAUUUGGUGGCCACUCUGGGGAGACUGCCG